rnacentral:misc_RNA from 1 species
GAUGAAGAACGUAGCGAACUGCGAUAAGUAAUGUGAAUUGCAGAAUUCAGUGAAUCAUCGAGUCUCUGAACGCACAUUGCGCCCCCUGGCAUUCCGGGGGGCAUGCCUGUCCGAGCGUCAUUGCUGCCCUUCAAGCCCGGCUUGUGUGUUGGGUCGUCGUCCCCCCCGGGGGACGGGCCCGAAAGGCAGCGGCGGCACCGCGUCCGGUCCUCGAGCGUAUGGGGCUUUGUCACCCGCUCGAUUAGGGCCGGCCGGGCGCCAGCCGGCGUCUCCAACCUUCUAUUUUACCAGGUUGACCUCGGAUCAGGUAGGGAUACCCGCUGAACUUAAGCAUAUCAAUAAGCGGAGGA